GACACACCGUGAGCGGCCCACAGGAGCCAC
rnacentral:sRNA from 1 species